rnacentral:rRNA from 1 species
CGGCGAGUGAAGCGGCAACAGCUCAAAUUUGAAAUCUGGCCUUCGGGUCCGAGUUGUAAUUUGUAGAGGAUGCUUUUGGCGCGGUGCCUUCCGAGUUCCCUGGAACGGGACGCCUUAGAGGGUGAGAGCCCCGUACGGUUGGACACCAAGCCUCUGUAAAGCUCCUUCGACGAGUCGAGUAGUUUGGGAAUGCUGCUCUAAAUGGGAGGUAAAUUUCUUCUAAAGCUAAAUAUUGGCCAGAGACCGAUAGCGCACAAGUAGAGUGAUCGAAAGAUGAAAAGCACUUUGAAAAGAGGGUUAAAUAGCACGUGAAAUUGUUGAAAGGGAAGCGUUUGCGACCAGACCUUUUCCUAGCGGAUCAUCCGGUGUUCUCACCGGUGCACUUCGCUAGGUCGAGGCCAGCAUCGGUUUUCGUAGGGGGAUAAAAGCCUUGGGAACGUAGCUCCUUCGGGAGUGUUAUAGCCCUUGGCAUAAUACCCUUACGGGGACCGAGGACCGCGCUUUUUGCAAGGAUGCUGGCGUAAUGGUCGUCAACGAC